GCCGCCAUGGUGGAAUUGGUAGACACGCUGCUCUUAGGAAGCAGUGCCAACGCAUCUCGGUUCGAGUCCGAGUGGCGG
rnacentral:tRNA from 1 species